rnacentral:RNase_P_RNA from 1 species
AAAGUCGGCCAGGCAAUCGCCGGGCGCGCGAAGGCGACUUCGCCGCCGGGAGGAAAGUCCGGGCUCCACAGGGCAGGAUGCCAGCUAACGGCUGGGCGCUAUAAGCCGCGAGGCGAAGGCGACGGAAAGUGCAACAGAGAAUAGACCGCCCAAGCCGGGGGAAACCCCGGACGGCAAGGGUGAAACGGUGGCCGGGCGCGAGUCCGGGCGGCGGGGUGAAAGCCUCGUCGGGGUAAGAGCCCACCGCGCCGGCGGCAACGCUCGGCGGCAUGGCAAACCCCAUCCGGAGCAAGGCCAAAUAGGGAAGCUUGGGCGUGGCCCGCGCUGCUUCCGGGUAGGCUGCUUGAGCCUGUCGGCAACGGCAGGCCUAGAGGAAUGAUUGCCACGGCAUCGCAAGGUGCCGCUACAGAACCCGGCUUAUCGGCCGGCUUUCCAA